rnacentral:rRNA from 1 species
GACGAACGCUGGCGGCGUGCCUAAUACAUGCAAGUAGAACGCUGAAGGAGGAGCUUGCUUCUCUGGAUGAGUUGCGAACGGGUGAGUAACGCGUAGGUAACCUGCCUGGUAGCGGGGGAUAACUAUUGGAAACGAUAGCUAAUACCGCAUAAUAGCAGUUGUUGCAUGACAACUGUUUGAAAGGUGCAAUUGCACCACUACCAGAUGGACCUGCGUUGUAUUAGCUAGUUGGUGGGGUAACGGCUCACCAAGGCGACGAUACAUAGCCGACCUGAGAGGGGGAUCGGCCACACUGGGACUGAGACACGGCCCAGACUCCUACGGGAGGCAGCAGUAGGGAAUCUUCGGCAAUGGACGGAAGGCUGACCGAGCAACGCCGCGUGAGUGAAGAAGGGUUUCGGAUCGUAAAGCUCUGUUGUAAGAGAAGAACGAGUGUGAGAGUGGAAAGUUCACACUGUGACGGUAUCUUACCAGAAAGGGACGGCUAACUACGUG